rnacentral:rRNA from 1 species
GACGAACGCUGGCGGCGUGCUUAACACAUGCAAGUCGAACGGGCCUUGUCCCCUUUUUUUUUGGGGGUGGGGUUAGUGGCGAACGGGUGAGUAACACGUGAGUAACCUGCCCCUCACUUCUGGAUAACCGCUUGAAAGGGUGGCUAAUACGGGGUGUUCUGGCCUGCUCGCAUGGGUGGGUUUGGAAAGAUUCGACCGGUUUGGUUGUUUUGGUGGGGGAUGGGCUCGCGGCCUAUCAGCUUGUUGGUGGGGGGAUGGCCUGCCAAGGCUUUGACGGGUAGCCGGCCUGGGAGGGUGGGCGGUCACACUGGGACUGAGACACGGCCCAGACUCCUACGGGAGGCAGCAGUGGGGAAUAUUGCACAAUGGGCGCAAGCCUGAUGCAGCGACGCCGCGUGAGGGAUGGAGGCCUUCGGGUUGUGAACCUCUUUCGCCAGUGAAGAAGGUCCUGCUCUUUGUGGUGGGGUUGACGGUAGCUGGGUUAAUGAAGCGCCGGCUAACUACGUG